GUACUACUCCCUCCGUCCUAAAAUUCUUGUCUUAGAUUUGGCUAAAUACGGAUGUAUCAAGUCACGUUUUAGUAUUAGAUACAUCUGUAUCUAGAUAAAUCUAAGACAAGAAUUUUGGGACGGAGGGAGUAUUUG
rnacentral:pre_miRNA from 1 species